GCGGGGGCUACGCCGCGACGAAAAGGAGGGCCGCUGCAGUGCGCCUGGAAGCCUGGGGCGUGGGCCCAGUUGGAGCCUCCACAGGUGCAGAUCUUGGUGGUAGUAGCAACUAUUCAAAUGAGAGCUUUGAAGGCCGAAGUGGAUCAGGGUUCCAUGUGAACAGCAGUUGAACAUGGGUCAGUCGGUCCUAAGCGAUAGGUGAGCGCCAUUCCGAAGGGACGGGCGAUGGCCUCUGUUGCCCUUGGCCGAUCGAAAGCAAGUCAGGUUCAGAUCCCCGAAUCCGGAGCGGUGGAGAUGGGCGCCACGAGGCGCCCAGUGCGGUAAUGCAAGCAAUCCCGGAGAAGUCGGCGGGAGCCCCGGGGAGAGUUCUCUUUUCUUUGUGAAGGGCCAGGCCCUCUGGACCUGGUCCCC